UCCCCCGCGAGGGGGCAGUCUCGCCUGACUUUUAAAACAGGCAACGAGGGUUGCGUUCGUUACCCCACUGAAGGGAACAACUCAAGCCACGAACUGACGACGACCAUGCAUCACCUGCCCACACGUCUUGCGAGGUCUAAAGUUUCCUAAAGAUUUCGUGUGAGUUUCAAACCCUGGUGAGGUUCUUCGUUUGCCAUCGAAUUGAGCCGCAUGAUCCACCGCUUGUGCAAGUCCCCGUCUAUUCCUUUGAGUUUUAGCCUUGCGGCCGUACUACCCAGGCGCACAACUUAACGCGUUAGCUUCGCCACAAAGAGGGUCGAUACUCCUUAUAGCCAGUUGUGAUCGUUUAGGGCGUGGACUAC
rnacentral:misc_RNA from 1 species